rnacentral:rRNA from 1 species
GACGAACGCUGGCGGCGUGCUUAACACAUGCAAGUCGAACGGAAGGGCCCUGCUUUUGUGGGGUGCUCGAGUGGCGAACGGGUGAGUAACACGUGAGUAACCUGCCCUUGACUUUGGGAUAACUUCAGGAAACUGGGGCUAAUACCGGAUAGGAGCUCCUGCUGCAUGGUGGGGGUUGGAAAGUUUCGGCGGUUGGGGAUGGACUCGCGGCUUAUCAGCUUGUUGGUGGGGUAGUGGCUUACCAAGGCUUUGACGGGUAGCCGGCCUGAGAGGGUGACCGGCCACAUUGGGACUGAGAUACGGCCCAGACUCCUACGGGAGGCAGCAGUGGGGAAUAUUGCACAAUGGGCGGAAGCCUGAUGCAGCAACGCCGCGUGCGGGAUGACGGCCUUCGGGUUGUGAACCGCUUUCGCCUGUGACGAAGCGUGAGUGACGGUAAUGGGUAAAGAAGCACCGGCUAACUACGUG